CCAAAACCUUGCCACGUAAACCCACUACAACUUCUCAGUAGAAGGCCAGAAAGACAUAAAGGAGGCUUUGCUGAACACCCACCCAGAGAUACGGGGAGGUUGUUUUGGUGCAUCUUGAAUUGUGCCAGUGCCAGCAGUGAGAGAGGAGAGGCAAUAUCCAACUUGGCUGCUCAGGCCAAAGCAACCUGGCAGGGUCACCUGGUGCAGGACCUCAAUGCAGCCUUCUAGGAUGCAAGUGGAGGUUACCAAGAAGAGGUCAGCACCUUGGAGGAUUUCAAGACCCAUCUUGACAGUCACAGGCAACAUGGUCUGAACUCAGCCUUGACCCUUUGAGCAAGAGGUAGGACUGGAGACCUCUUGAGAUCCCUUCCUGCCCAAGGGAUUCCAUGAGUCCACACUGAUUUUCAGUACACAGAAGCCACAGAUGGGAGUUCAAAUCUAUGAGCAGCUCACUGGCUAACAUCCUUCCUACAUAAUAAAUUGCCAAGUGUUAUCCACUCAGAAGCCCUGCAAUUGAGAGCUGGAAAUGAAUGAAGGUAAAUAACCCAACACUGGAAUUACAGAAAGCAAGAUAAGACUGCUGUGGCUACUUCAAAGCAGGUACUUUGAAAACUUAAUCAGGCUGAAGAGCUAUGUAAAAUAAGUUGGCCUCUGCCUCUGCUUAUACAAAAUAUGCCUUCAGAGCCUCCCACUGAGAUUCUGGCAGGAAUUGUUCCUGGACAUCAUCUAUUGAAAAAAUGAUUGAUUUCUCUUUGACAGAACAUCAGAGCAUCUCUGGAAUUUAAGUUUCCUUGUGCUUGGCAAGCACUUAAAAUUAUUAAGAAAUAGAAACAUCAGAAUGCAAGUGUUUAGUACUCAAUUUUAUGACUACAUUGCCCAAAUGACAGAUAUGUGCAAGAUUAGAGACCUGUUAAUACUAGCUAUUUUUAAGCCUGGAAAAGCAAUUUCUUUUUCUUGCUGCACUACUGUUCUCUGCCAAAUUACCGUACAGAAUGUUUCUAGAUUCCAGGACUUCUCCAAAAAGUUAUCUUAAUUCAUAGUGUUGCAGGCAGGAAAGUUACAAAAGAUGUUAAACAUUACAGAGAAAUGAGGAAAAGCCAGCAUUGCCAUUGUGGACCUCACGUGCUAUAUGGUCAUUUCUGAACCUCAGAAUUUAAUCAUUUUGACAUGGUGACAAAAUUAAAGACUCAAGAAUCAUUCCUUCAUUGCAUUCAGUCUUGCAAACAGAAAGCUAAACCUGCUAAAUAGGCUGCAUGUAUAAUGGACCUUGCUUAAGUACACAGCAUGUCACUACAACAUGGUACAUUUGUAAGACUCUGCCACUUUGUUCCAAAAAUCUUAAGCAAAUGCCUCUUCAAGGCAGAGUGGUUGAUCACUUGUUCUAUAUUGUUUCAUACAUUCCCCUGGGUAAACUCAUGAGGUAAAACAUUUAAUGAGACUAGACUAUUUCUCUUAAACAGUAUAUAAAUAAAAAAAUAAAAACAAUCCAGGAAAUGUGUUUCAUUCCCAAAUUAAGCAUCACACCACUGCAAGUCUUUAAUGACUCCAGUAAAGGUUGUAGAGAGUAAUAUUAUGGAGUUUUUAAGCCUCACAUAUUUGUGUGAACGCAUAAAGAUUACACAUCCAUUUCUGACUGCGAUAAGCUACCUCAAUUUGUAUAUGUAAGGGGCUAUUUAAAUAUUUGGUUUUUGUUUGUUUGGUUGGUUGGUUGGAUUUUGUUUUUUGGGGUUUUUUUUGGUAUGUGUGUGUGUGUUUUGUGUGUGGUGGUUUGUUUCCUUGUUUGUUCUGAGGGAAAUUAAAUUUCUGUUCUCUUUCAGACUUCAUUUGCCAGGUCUCAGUUCCCGCUUUUCCUGUUCCUAAAACCAUUUGCAUCCAGCAGUCAUCAUUCAGGUAAACAGCUUUCUUGUGCCACUGCUGUUUUCUGCUCAACUGCUUGAACUUGCCAUGCUAGAGCCUCAUGCCUCACACAGGGCAUGGGGAGUCUCUUCUGAGGAGGAUCUGGGAGUGCACGGUUACAAGGACUGAAGGACAUUUUCUGUUUUGAGAUAUUGAAAAAAAAACAACAACAAAACAAACAAACAAAACAAACAAA